rnacentral:lncRNA from 1 species
AUGAGUUGCGCCUCCGCGGGGCCCCGCCCGGCCGCCCCACCCACCAGCCCACAACAUCAGGGAGAGGCGUGUCAGUCCCCCGCCCUUGGCCAAUCCCCGCCGGCCACAGCUGGCUUUCCCGCCCGGCCCCUUCGGCGUCGCCCAGCGAGGCGGCCGCGCGCGGCCGGCCAAUCAGGAGCACGACGCCGUCCCGCCCCGGCCCUCGUUCGCUGGGGCCGGACUCGGUCGGCAUCCGGGAAGCCAGCGGCCCCGCCUCUCCGCAGCUGCAGGCGCUGGUUUAAAGGCGGUGUCGGGAAGCCGGUGCGCGGUUGGUGUCGUCGCCCUCGCGCCCGCUCGGGUAAGGGCCGCGGGGCCGCGGAGCCGCGGAGCCGCGGAGCCGCAUCUCCUUCUCGGGGCAGGGGGGAGGCGACAGAAGCGGCCGCGCGCCGCCUUCCCCGAGCUCCUGGCUGGCCGCGGGGCCGCGGGGCCCGACGGGAGCUGGCGCCGCGCCGGAAGUGGGGGGGGACACAAGGCGAGGCGUGGCUGAGGUGGGGGUCCCGAAGAAGAACCGGGUCGGCGUCGGGUGGGGGAGAUGGCGUACCUGUCCGGGCGGGCAGGCUCUGGAGGGGGGCCCUGAUGGGGAAUCCUAGAACCGUCACCCGGAAGGAAGGUAGCUCGUCCCCGCAGGCAAGGUGGAGAGUGUCAGGCUUCGUUCGCUCGGUUAUUAGGACGCACUGAGGAUCUUUGGAACAGGGAGUGACCAUCAGAUUUUUCAUAGUGAGAAUUAACCAAACAAAAUAAGCCAAGAUGUCUGUGGACCCGAUGACCUACGAGGCCCAGUUCUUCGGCUUCACACCGCAAACCUGCAUGCUGAGAAUCUACAUUGCAUUUCAAGACUACCUGUUUGAAGUGAUGCAGGCCGUCGAACAGGUCAUUCUGAAAAAGCUAGGUGACCUCCCAGGCUGUGAGAUCAGCCCUGUCCAGGUUCGUAAAUGCACAGAGAAGUUCCUCGGCUUCAUGAAGGGACGUUUCGAUAACCUUUUUGGCAAAAUGGAGCAGCUGUUUUUACAGUUGAUUCUGCGCAUUCCGCCAAACAUUUUGCUUCCGGAAGACAAACCCCAGGAGCUGCAUCCUUGUAGUGAGGAAGAGUUCCGGCUCCUCCAGGAGGAAAUUGAACAGUUACAGGAGAAGUAUAAGACUGAAUUAGGCACUAAGCAGGCCCUUCUUGCAGAAUUAGAGGAACAAAAAAUUAUGCAGGCCCAACUUAAGCAGACACUUGUUUUGUUUGAUGAACUCGAAAAUGCUGGCCGAGAUCAUGGGACUAGUGAUUUCAGGGAAAGCCUGGUGUUCCUGGUCCAGAACUCCAGAAAACUACAGACUAUUAGGGACACUGUGGAACGGGAAGGCAAGAGAAUGAAAAUACUGUAAUUUCUAAGUAGUGACAGAAACCCGUCAGAAAGUAGAAUAGGAAGGGAUUGAUGUGAAUGAUAUUCUGGUGAACUGAAUGUCUUAUGGGAUUUCAUUUAUUGGCUCUUGUACUCCGCACUUCCCUCUGUCUGGCCCCACUCUGCUAGGGCAUCUACACUACCCUGAACUAAUCCUUGGAGCCCGUGUUCCCUAGAGACCUCUCACAGGUGGGAAGGGGUUCCUGGUCCAGCAGCAUGUCGCCGGGCACUAAGACUGCAGAGAGAUCUGUAAAAGCAGUUCCUUGAUCAGGGGCUCCUUGUAACCUUGAUCCUUCUGACUUAUUCUUUGGAUGUGAUCAAAUGAGAAAAAGGUUAAGUGGGCGGCUUCGUUAGGAACUAGCCACUGCAUGGCUGGAUGGGUGCCGGCACCCGUGGCCUGCUCUUGUCCACGAAUUGCCUUACACAGCAAGUUAGCCGAUGGGAAGAAGCAAAUAGAGAAACACCACCUGUGUGAUCCUUAGUAAAGAGAGAAGUUGUUUUCGUUCCUAAAAUAAAUGCUUUCUGUGAUCAUGGUGUUGGAGAUGU